rnacentral:rRNA from 1 species
CGGCUAACUACGUGCAGCAGCGCGUAUACGUAGGCGCGAGCGUGUCGAUUAAUGGGCGUAAGAGCUCGUAGCGUUGUCGCGUCUGCUGUGGAAUCCUCUGGCUUAACUGGGGGCGUGCAGUGGGUACGGGCAGACUGGAGUGCGGUAGGGGAGACUGGAAUUCCUGGUGUAGCGGUGGAAUGCGCAGAUAUCAGGAGGAACACCGGUGGCGAAGGCGGGUCUCUGGGCCGUUACUGACGCUGAGGAGCGAAAGCAUGGGGAGCGAACAGGAUUAGAUACCCUGGUAGUCCAUGCCGUAAACGUUGGGAACUAGGUGUGGGGUCCAUUCCACGGGUCCUGUGCCGUAGCUAACGCAUUAAGUUCCCCGCCUGGGGAGUACGGCCGCAAGGCUAAAACUCAAAGGAAUUGACGGGGGCCCGCACAAGCGGCGGAGCAUGCGGAUUAAUUCGAUGCAACGCGAAGAACCUUACCAAGGCUUGACAUGCAUUCGACGUCUCCAGAGAUGGGGGUUCCGUAAGGCGGGUGCACAGGUGGUGCAUGGUUGUCGUCAGCUCGUGUCGUGAGAUGUUGGGUUAAGUCCCGCAACGAGCGCAACCCUUGUUCCAUGUUGCCAGCGGGUGAUGCCGGGGACUCAUGGGAGACUGCCGGGGUCAACUCGGAGGAAGGUGGGGAUGACGUCAAAUCAUCAUGCCCCUUAUGUCUUGGGCUUCACGCAUGCUACAAUGGCCGGUACAAAGGGUUGCGAUCCUGUGAGGGGGAGCGAAUCCCAAAAAGCCGGUCUCAGUUCGGAUUGGGGUCUGCAACUCGACCCCAUGAAGUCGGAGUCGCUAGUAAUCGCAGAUCAGCAACGCUGCGGUGAAUACGUUCUCGGGCCUUGCACACACCGCCCGU